CAGCAGAAGCCCCUAAGAUGCACAUCAACCCCUCCACCCCCACCUCCUGACCCUUGGCCAUAUUUCUUUUUCUCUUUAAAAUUUCCUUUGCUAUAAAUGAUGAGCUGCUUCAAAAUCUCCAGGGAUUGCCUAGGCCCUGGACCUUGCUAGGAAUUUUCUCUCAUUUUAGGUAUUAGUUAUUUCUUUUUUUCUGCUAGGUUUGGGGUUGCUUUGUUCUUUUUUUUUUUUUUUUUUUUUUUUUGUAGUUUAUC
rnacentral:lncRNA from 1 species